AGCUCGUAGUUGGAUUUCUGUUGAAGACCGGCGGUCCACCUUUUGGGUGAGUAUCUGCUUGGGCUUCGGCAUCUUCUCGGAAUACGUUGCUGCGCUUGAUUGCGUGGUUCGGAGUCCGGGACUUUUACUUUGAGGAAAUUAGAGUGUUCACGGCAGGCAUACGCCUUGAAUAUAUUAGCAUGGAAUAAUAAUAUAGGAUCUUGGUUCUAUUUUGUUGGUUUCUAGAGCUAAGAUAAUGAUUAAUAGGGACAAUUGGGGGCAUUCGUAUUAACGCGUCAGAGGUGAAAUUCUUGGAUUGCGUUACGACGAACUACUGCGAAAGCAUUUGCCAAGGAUGUUUUCAUUGAUCAAGAACGAAAGUAAGGGGAUCGAAGAUGAUUAGAUACCGUCGUAGUCUUUACCAUAAACUAUGCCAACUAGAGAUGGGGCGUCGUACUACUAUUACUCGCU
rnacentral:rRNA from 1 species